AUUUAUAUGAUGACAUUUUAUCUUUCGCCCCUAGCUGAAAAUUUGGAAACAUUUCAUGUUGAAUGCGAAUGAUUGGUCUUGCUGAAGAAAUCAU
rnacentral:snoRNA from 1 species